rnacentral:tRNA from 1 species
AGUUCAGUUGGUUAGAAUACCUGCCUGUCAUCCCCAACGUAGUUGGGGACGGGUACGAGUCCCGUC